UUCGGUAUGCAUCUCAAUUGGACCUGAUAUCAGGCAAGAUUACCCGCUGAACUUAAGCAUU
rnacentral:rRNA from 1 species